CUGCGAGCGUGACGGCGCGAGCAGGUGCGAAAGCAGGUCAUAGUGAUCCGGUGGUUCUGAAUGGAAGGGCCAUCGCUCAACGGAUAAAAGGUACUCCGGGGAUAACAGGCUGAUACCGCCCAAGAGUUCAUAUCGACGGCGGUGUUUGGCACCUCGAUGUCGGCUCAUCACAUCCUGGGGCUGAAGUAGGUCCCAAGGGUAUGGCUGUUCGCCAUUUAAAGUGGUACGCGAGCUGGGUUUAGAACGUCGUGAGACAGUUCGGUCCCUAUCUGCCGUGGGCGCUGGAGAACUGAGGGGGGCUGCUC
rnacentral:rRNA from 1 species